rnacentral:misc_RNA from 1 species
UCCUGGUUAACCCAGGCAGUCUCGUUAGAGUUCCCGCCAUUACGCGCUGGCAACUAACGAUAAGGGUUGCGCUCGUUGCUGGACUUAACCAAACACCUCACGGCACGAGCUGACGACAGCCAUGCAGCACCUAUAUAGAGACCCUUUCGGGAAAUUCAAUCUCUUGAAUCGUCCUCUACAUUUCGAGCCCAGGUAAGGUUCUUCGUGUUGCAUCGAAUUAAACCACAUGCUCCACUGCUUGUGCGGGCCCCCGUCAAUUCUUUUGAGUUUCACCCUUGCGAGCGUACUCCCCAGGCGGCAUACUUAACGCGUUAGCUCCGAUACUGGAAGGGUUGAGCCCUCCAACAUCUAGUAUGCAUCGUUUAAGGCUAGGACUAC